GUCAUCGCUUGCUCUCGUUCCCAGGCUUUGGCUUCUAGUGGACGAGAAUCACCGAGUCUGCGGGGCUGGAUGCUGACCGCCCGGACCAGCACCUAGGCGGGCGGGAGCUGUGCGGCCCAGGGUUCGCGCGGGCCGGGUAGAGGCUCGAGCUGGGACCCCCGAGCGUGAACCCCGGAGCCGGCGGCGCUGGGGCCAGAGGGGCCGGGAGCCCCAGGGAGGCGGAUCUGGGCCCCGAGAAGGACACCCGCCUGGAUUUGCCCCGUAGGCCCGGCCCGGGCCCCUCGGGAGCAGAACAGCCUUGGUGAGGUGGACAGGAGGGGACCUCGCGAGCAGACGCGCGCGCCAGCGACAGCAGCCCGCCCCGGCCUCUCGGGAGCCGUGGGGCAGAGGCUGCGGAGCCCCAGGAGGGCCGGAGCCCUCAUGACUUCAGUGACCUGCUUCUGCCCCUCUAGGUCUAUCAGCCACAGUCUCUGCAUGUUUCCAAGAGCAGCAGAAAAUGAACACAUUGCAGGGGCCAGUGUCAUUCAAAGAUGUGGCUGUGGAUUUCACCCAGGAGGAGUGGCGGCAACUGGACCCUGAUGAGAAGAUAACAUACGGGGAUGUGAUGUUGGAGAACUACAGCCAUCUAGUUUCCUUGGCUUAUGAGGUGGCAACAUCUUGUACUUCGGAGAUUCUGAAGCCGAGCAACUUGCCCAAGUCCUUCUUCUUUUCCCAUUAACAAGAUAUGAUAUCACCAAGCCAAACGUCAUCAUUAAGUUGGAGCAGGGAGAGGAGCUGUGGAUAACGGGAGGUGAAUUUCCAUGUCAACAUAGUCCUGGUAAGUUAGUAGAGUAUCAAAUGUUAAAAAAUGCUCAUCCCAGACCUUUGGGAGUGACUAAAGAGUUGUUUAUAUGUAUUCGGUACCCUCAGUAACACCUCCCAACCCCCAAAUAUCACUUUCCUUCCCGCACACAUACAUGAACUCUUUUGUUUAUUUUAUAUUUGAUUUACAUUGGUAGGGAUUUUUUCAUUCUAACCUAUACUGGGGACCCAUUCACUUCCUCUUCCUCCAGCAUUAUCGGUCACUUAUUUACUCCCUCGCCAUUAGAGAAUUGUUGUGGGCUGUUUGUUUUUUUGUUUGGUUUUUGGAGACGGAGUCUUGUUCUGUCACCCAGGCUGAUGUGCACUGGUAUGAUCUCAGCUCACUGCAACCAUCACCUCCCAGGUUCAAGCGAUUCUCCUUCCUCAGCCUCCUGAGUAGCUGGGAUUUCAGGCACAUGCCACCAAGCCUGGCUAAUUUUUGUAUUUUUAGUAGAGACAGGGUUUCACCAUGUUGGCCAUGCUGGUCUUGAACUCCUGGCCUCAAGUGAUCCACCCACCUCAGCCUCCCCAAGUGCUGAGAUUACAGUCCUGAGCCACUGCUCCCGGCCUUACAGAAUUGUUUCAUUUUGGGGCAUUCAGAAGUCUGACAUAAAAAUUAACUUGAGACUUUUAUGUUCAUUCUUUUUAUCUUCCAUUUUCUUUCCUUCCUUGCUUUAAAAAUACCUUGGACUUG
rnacentral:lncRNA from 1 species